UAGUCCGCACCUGCACUAUUUUGAUUACGGCCAGGAGCAUGGCUAACGCGACUAAUUUCUUUAAAUUGUUCUUUAAAGUAAAGUUAGGUUAUUAAAAGAGAAUAAGAAGAGAGAGACAGGAAAAAUACAGGAGGGCAACAAAUGACACAUUUCUUUCAGAGAAAAGACACAACCACAGACUGAAGCACCUGCCCCCUCCCACCAUCUGAUGAUGUUAACUUACUGAAGACAGCAGACAAGUGAAAUUGGCAGCAUCCUAACCUCCCCAGCUGAUAAUGCUGAUAAUACUGGAAGGCGAUUGGACGCAUGUCAGUGAGCCCAAUUGAUGUGCUUAUAGGAGCUGCCACUGGGGAUACACAGAAAAGAAAGACGUGGAGGGGUGUAACUGCUGACAAUGCUGACAAUGGAGAAAAGAAGAUGGUGGUAGAUGAAACCAUAAAAGGCUGUCUUGGUGAGAAGAGAGAGAUGGAAAGAGAGAGAAAAGCCUCAUCAUUUUGCUCUCCAUUUCAUCUCACGGCGCUAUAAAAGAGAGAUGAAAUCAGACGACUGUCAGGUAAAAGAGAGUAAAACCUUUGCUUCCCCUCUGAAAUGGGCCGAGAAGAGAAAUGGAGAGGAGAGAGGUGGAGCGCCCUGCAUCACUUCUGCUUCACAGAAAAAGCUCUGGACUGUCAAGAGAACAAAAACACUGGAUUUUACAAGGCCGAGCCUGUCAAAGUGGUUAGAAGCCUUUACUGGAGCCCAGUCAGCUUUUAGCAAAGAUGGAGGGAAAAUGUUUUUUAUCAGUUGGGUGGAAUGGUGGGAUAUGUUUUUAAACAUGGCUCAUUUAUAUUUUCUGUGUAAAUUUAGGCAAAUAUCAAAACACAUAAAAAAACAGACAUGUAUCUUGACAUUUAAUGUAUCAUCUUUUUCCAUGUCAAGGUAAAACAAUUUGGAAAACCACAGCUGGACUGGUUUGCUCUUAUGUUUUUGACAUAAGCAUUUAUUUAAAGUGUAUCUUACCAUACUUACAUGCUCGUUUGUACACUUAAACAUCCUGUUCACACUGGCUGUGAAGAGAUCCCCUCCAAUGCUAUUUCAGUGUACAUAAUGUAGACAAAAUCCUCUUUCUGUGAAAAAAAUGCAUCCCAAAGUUUAACCAAAGGUAAUUUGAGGAUUGAGCAGUUGCAAUUAGUCAGAUUAAGUGUGUAUCUCCCAAAGUGUUUAGUACAUUACUAAAAUGACCAAAACUCUGGAAGAUACACACUUGAUUUGACUAAAUCCAACUCCGUUGAGCUUUAGAAGUCAUUUUUCACAGAAUGAGGACUGUGAAAUUUGUGCCCCAUCACUUACAUUGAAAUCACUUUAGGAAUGGAUCUCUUGUAUGGACAGGAAGAACAAUUACAGCGUCCAAUAACACUUGUGACUGUACAAGAUAGACUUGAUAAAAUGUGAACCUGUACUUUAACAUGACUAUAUCUGAAUAUGUAAUCUACAUAAUGACAUCUUAUCAUGGGUCUUUGCAUUUACGCCUGCUAUUAAUAAUUGUUCUGUUAUCUCGAUUUUUUUAACAUUGUGAUUGGAUGUCAAUAUGCAUAUUAAGUAGGCGGUAGGUGCGUCCUAGGUCAAGGGAAAGUUUGUGUACUACCUUUUGAAAGAAACAUAAUUCUGCCUGGAUUAUAUUUUCUGCAAAAUGUUCACUGACAUUAUCCGUUUGUGGCAGCCAGAAUUCUUUUCACGGUUAGUUUAGGUCAAAGCACUUGGUUAAGGUCAGGGAAUGAUCUUCGGCUUGGUUAAAUAUUGAAAAGUCAACGGUGACACAAGACAAGGACGUGUUUACAUUUCCGUAUAUAUCUCUGUAUUUCUCAAUAUUUAACAAAAACCACUAUCUUUGCUUCACCUCAACUCAAGUGUUUAGUUUCCUAAACCGAACCACAUGUGAUACGCAGAACACAAACCCUGGUCUAUGGCCCACUCUGACCGCCUCGUUAUGACUUGUGUGCCACUUUAUGGACCUGAAAAACCAUCACCAGUGAACAUAAUCCACACAGCUAUUAAGUUUCUUUUAAAACCUAUUAGGCAAAACCAUUUAGUAAUAUAUAAACAUAAUUUCUUGACAGGAUUACACAAGAACAAUUGAUGGUAAUAUAUUUGAAGAAAAUAUGUACAGAGUCUUCAGCCCACACAGUUAGGUGAAAUGCAUGGCAAAGAAAUCACUCCAUAUUGCAACCCCAUCCCCCCUCUCUCUCACCUACACAGUCAGAAAUCACAGCCUUACUGCCAGCACCCCGACAAAAGUGAAAAUGAAUGCACUCACCACCUGUGGUGGGAGCAGAACAAGAGAGUGGGAGAGGACGUGGGAGAGGAAGAAAGAAGGAAAAGACGUGGCAAUUGUUCAGUCCGAUGAGUCAGUCAAAACAGGAUUCACAGACACUGACAUGUAUAGUAUAUAUCAUGAGUAAUCUUAUGGAAGCCUGCGCUUGACAAAAUACAUAACAGAAAAAGCCAAAAGUAGCAGUUUCAUAAUCAUAUGCUGGUUGUUAUUAGCAUGACAUUUGUUUGUAAGACAUUUUAUCCUCAAAUCCUGUUUCAUAAUCAUCACUGAUAUCAGCAGAAAGCAACAAAUCCCCAAAGUAGUUUGUCUUUUUCUCAGGUGUGUGUGGGAGUGUGUGAAAUGUGAGUGUGACUGAAUGUGUCUCUGCUGGUUCUGUGAUUCAAGUGAAGCAACAGAGUAGUCACUGGGUACGUCUCUGUGUGUGUGUGUGUGUGUGUGUGUGUGUGUGUGUGUGUGUGUGUGUGUGUUUGCCAAGCCACACAGAUCCUGAGCUGUGUCUCAUCCCUCCCACCAUUACUCCUGUCAGCAGGCCUGAAACCACAAACCAUCCCGUCUGGAAACAAAGCCAUUAACUCACAACAACCGUCUCUGUCUCUCUCACACCUUUUUCUUCAGCUUAGAUCUCCUCUCUCCGUCACACUUUACUUGUUUUAUAUCAGUGUGUGAGCUGACAAAUAUAUUAGACGUCUGUGUGUCACAACUGUGACAUUUAACUGUUCCCAUUAGCAAAAAUUACACCUACAGUAACAACUUGAUUUCUCUGUCAACAGUGGCAUUUAGUGUUGAGUGUGUUUGUGAAUUCACCGGCUGAACACCAAACUAGACUGUUCCUGAAUCCAGAACAGUAAAAGGUUGGUGUUUAGACUGGCAUUUGGUCACAUAUUUACACUGGCAGAUAAAUGGGGAGUCUCAUGAGGGACUGGUACGACCUGCCAGGUAGCCUGUGAGAUGGUUAUCAAAAAGGAAGCGCGUAACACAAGUUAUCCCUGAAAAAAUGUGUUAAAACUCUCUACAGCAAAAGGGAAAACAUGUCAAUCAACCUGCCGUGUUUCUUUAUUCUUUCACCUUUAUUUAGGUUUGACAAAGCAGGUACCUUACUAUGAUUCAAAUGUAAAAACAAUAAUUUUGAGAGAAACAAGCUUAAUAAAGACUUGUAGCAACCCAACCUUUCUCCAAAAUGUGGCAUUAUAAACCUGUAUGAAUAUUCAUACAAACAAGGAUCCCUUCAAUAUAUGUUACUUUCCACUUUCUGUAUUAGUUUUAUUAUCACUGAUUCCCACCAGCUUUGCUCAUGUCUGUGUGGAGAAAUAUCAGAUAAUGAAGAGAAAAUAGCUCAAUGUUACUUUGGUAAAAACACAACAUCAUUUUCAGUAUUAUGUCCAUUGUAAAAAGAACUUUUACAUUUUAACUCACGAAACAACAAACCCAGUCAGUGUGGUAUUUUAGAUAACAGUGUAAUCAAUAGUGGUAAAUUAGUAGUGAACAUGCUAGCAGAUUAGCUCGCUAGAGGUUGUGCUAGCUUGGCUUCCAUCGGUCACAUGACUCAUCUUGGAGGUUGUAGUGGUCCCUCAAGAGUGUCCCAGUUGAAAGGUUUUAAGCUAACUUGUUGUGUCAUGUACCAUUACAUGAACUACAUACAGUUAGUAACUUUCUCAGCUUUCAACGUGUUUGUUUUGACUCAUAAACCGGUCAGAAUUGAACAAAAGCUCAAGUUUCGAUUCAUCUUAUCUGCUUUCUGAACUUAACCACAAAACAUUAAUAUCUUUCAUGCUGUUUGUUUUCCUCUUUAAACAGAGAUCAACAUGGAAUUCAGGAACACACCCAACAUUGUGAAUUGUGAAGUUCACACAGAGACGAGCCAAGGGGACUGAAUGAGUCCAUGGUCACACUGAGGUGAGCCAAAACUGCUCAUUCAGACAAACUCUUUUACAAUCCUCAAAUAUUGGUUUACUUUCUAACUCGUGAACCUUUCUGAGAAACGGGAGAGAGAUAUGAUGAUGAUGAUAGAGGAUUGUGGAUUAACAACAGCUCUUGUUUCUGUUAGUGAUACGUGGGCAUUAGAUUAAAAUCAAGUGUAGCCAGAGUUUUAGAAAUACUGAGGUCAUUCUUUGCACCCUCCACUAAUCUCAGGAAAAAAACGUGACAAGGUUUCUAACAUUUUUUAAAUACUUGAAUUUUUCGUUUAUUCAGUCAACUGUUCUUGUGUGAACAUGAAGGUCUAAAUGCUGAAGCCCAAACUUAUUUACUAUUUUGUUGAUACAUUUAAAUAUAUUGAGUCUAAAAACAUGCACAUGGUGGGUGUUUUAUACGGCAGUAUUUUUAAAUAGCUUGACAAGGUGUCAGGGGGGUUUCAGGGGGUUACGGGCCAGACUAGCCGUUUCUAUGCUAAGCUAACCGUCUCCUGGCUGCAGCUUCAUAUUUAGCAUUCAGACAUGAGAGUGGAAUCAAUCUUAUCUAAUUCUCUGCAAGUAAGAGUAUUUCCCAAAAUGUCAAACUAUUCCUUUCAUUUAUAGAAAUACAGAGGAUAUGAUCAGUGUCCUAAAUGGUAGCUCUGGCCCUGAUGCGUCACACAACACACAGGCCUUCAGAAGCCCCUGGAGAACAUCAGAUGUGUAUAUUUGUAGGUAACAACUGAUGAAAUGUUGUCAAUCACAAGGAAAUGGGCCAUUCUACAAAAACUGUUUUAUUGAUUUAUUAACAACUGUACAUUUCUUUUCAGUGCUGACAGCAUUUGCUACAUACUUUGGUGUGAUUCAGAGGGACUGGCGCAUUUCGCCCCUUUUUAUUUUAUUUUAUUUUGGGAAAUGCUGACAGGAUCAGGAGCACAGUGUACAAACCAAAAUUAUUCACUGUUGUCUUAACGUCAACAUUGGAGAUACUAUAUUUUCUAAUUUGUGUACUUCUGUUGCCAUUCCUUCCUUCCCCAA